rnacentral:rRNA from 1 species
GGGGGAACCCUGAUCCAGCAUGCCGCGUGUGUGAAGAAGGCCUUCGGGUUGUAAAGCACUUUUGUCCGGAAAGAAAACUUCUGCCCUAAUACGGCGGGAGGAUGACGGUACCGGAAGAAUAAGCACCGGCUAACUACGUGCCAGCAGCCGCGGUAAUACGUAGGGUGCGAGCGUUAAUCGGAAUUACUGGGCGUAAAGCGUGCGCAGGCGGUUCGUUAAGACAGAUGUGAAAUCCCCGGGCUUAACCUGGGAACUGCAUUUGUGACUGGCGAGCUAGAGUAUGGCAGAGGGGGGUAGAAUUCCACGUGUAGCAGUGAAAUGCGUAGAGAUGUGGAGGAAUACCGAUGGCGAAGGCAGCCCCCUGGGCCAAUACUGACGCUCAUGCACGAAAGCGUGGGGAGCAAACAGGAUUAGAUACCCUGGUAGUCCACGCCCUAAACGACGUCAACUAGUUGUUGGGUCUUCAUUGACUUAGUAACGUAGCUAACGCGUGAAGUUGACCGCCUGGGGAGUACGGUCGCAAGAUUAAAACUCAAAAAAAUUGACGGA